AGACCCGAAACCCGGUGAUCUAGCCAUGGGCAGGUUGAAGGUUGGGUAACACUAACUGGAGGACCGAACCGACUAAUGUUGAAAAAUUAGCGGAUGACCUGUGGCUGGGGGUGAAAGGCCAAUCAAACCGGGAGAUAGCUGGUUCUCCCCGAAAGCUAUUUAGGUAGCGCCUCGUGAAUUCAUCUCCGGGGGUAGAGCACUGUUUCGGCUAGGGGGCCAUCCCGGCUUACCAACCCGAUGCAAACUGCGAAUACCGGAGAAUGUUAUCACGGGAGACACACGGCGGGUGCUAACGUCCGUCGUGAAGAGGGAAACAACCCAGACCGCCAGCUAAGGUCCCAAAGUCAUGGUUAAGUGGGAAACGAUGUGGGAAGGCCCAGACAGCCAGGAUGUUGGCUUAGAAGCAGCCAUCAUUUAAAGAAAGCGUAAUAGCUCACUGGUCGAGUCGGCCUGCGCGGAAGAUGUAACGGGGCUAAACCAUGCACCGAAGCUGCGGCAGCGAACGUAUCACCCAAGACAACUUUACGGAGUUGACGAUUGACGGAGCGAAGCGACGUCAAAGCGUUCAUUAAAGUCGAGUUGGCUUAGGGAUACGUUCGUUGGGUAGGGGAGCGUUCUGUAAGCCUGUGAAGGUGUGUCGUGAGGCAUGCUGGAGGUAUCAGAAGUGCGAAUGCUGACAUAAGUAACGAUAAAGCGGGUGAAAAGCCCGCUCGCCGGAAGACCAAGGGUUCCUGUCCAACGUUAAUCGGGGCAGGGUGAGUCGACCCCUAAGGCGAGGCCGAAAGGCGUAGUCGAUGGGAAACGGGUUAAUAUUCCCGUACUUGGUGUUACUGCGAAGGGGGGACGGAGAAGGCUAUGUUGGCCGGGCGACGGUUGUCCCGGUUUAAGCGUGUAGGUGUGUGUUCCAGGUAAAUCCGGUUCACUUUAACACUGAGGCGUGACGACGAGGCACUACGGUGCUGAAGCAACAAAUGCCCUGCUUCCAGGAAAAGCCUCUAAGCAUCAGGUAACACGAAAUCGUACCCCAAACCGACACAGGUGGUCAGGUAGAGAAUACCAAGGCGCUUGAGAGAACUCGGGUGAAGGAACUAGGCAAAAUGGUGCCGUAACUUCGGGAGAAGGCACGCUGACACGUAGGUGAAGUGAUU
rnacentral:rRNA from 2 species